GGAACAGGCUGUGCUUGAGGCCGAACUCGAUGCCGGCCACGCUGGUGACGCCGUCGGAGCCGUUCCAGGCCGCGAAGUUGUCCAGGUUUGUUUGUAGGUGGCCAGUGACUUUGGUCUGUUGGAGCCAGGCAGACAGAAGAUGGCCCUCACAGAAAACCCUGGUGGCCCGACCAGCAGGAGAUGCAGUCUUUCAGGAUGAGGAGGAGAGUCAUGGGGCCCAGAGGUGACCUGGGCGAGCCGCUCAGUUCACAGAAGGUCCUACACUGUCAAAACCACCUCCCGAAUUUCCAUGAGAACCAACUAGACUUUGUGUCUUUAGGUCUGAAGUGACCUCGGAGCCACAACCUGGAGCAGCUGGGAAGACACGACAUUUUCUUAGGGGACACGACAGUCAGAUGUCAGAAACGCCCGAAAUACACCUACAGGUGGAGCCGGGACCCGUGGGAGCUGCACUGUGGUCGCGGAAG